rnacentral:rRNA from 1 species
ACAGGGAGCUUGCUCCUGGGUGACGAGCGGCGGACGGGUGAGUAAUGUCUGGGAAACUGCCCGAUGGAGGGGGAUAACUACUGGAAACGGUAGCUAAUACCGCAUAACGUCUUCGGACCAAAGUGGGGGACCUUCGGGCCUCACACCAUCGGAUGUGCCCAGAUGGGAUUAGCUAGUAGGUGAGGUAAUGGCUCACCUAGGCGACGAUCCCUAGCUGGUCUGAGAGGAUGACCAGCCACACUGGAACUGAGACACGGUCCAGACUCCUACGGGAGGCAGCAGUGGGGAAUAUUGCACAAUGGGCGCAAGCCUGAUGCAGCCAUGCCGCGUGUGUGAAGAAGGCCUUCGGGUUGUAAAGCACUUUCAGCGAGGAGGAAGGGUUCAGUGUUAAUAGCACUGAUCAUUGACGUUACUCGCAGAAGAAGCACCGGCUAACUCCGUGCCAGCAGCCGCGGUAAUACGGAGGGUGCAAGCGUUAAUCGGAAUUACUGGGCGUAAAGCGCACGCAGGCGGUUUGUUAAGUCAGAUGUGAAAUCCCCGAGCUUAACUUGGGAACUGCAUUUGAAACUGGCAAGCUAGAGUCUUGUAGAGGGGGGUAGAAUUCCAGGUGUAGCGGUGAAAUGCGUAGAGAUCUGGAGGAAUACCGGUGGCGAAG